rnacentral:lncRNA from 1 species
GGAUGCAACAGACUGAUAGCGACGUUUGUAACGGCCUGGUAGUGGGUCGUUCAAGGCCAUAAGAAGUUUGUUGCGGAGAGUAGUGGCGUCAGGGGCUAUUCAAAGCCACAUGGAGCUUGUCGCGGGGAGUGUAGUGUUUGUUGUCGUGACUUGCCAGAGAGUGGUGGAGCCACACGGAAUCCAUCACAGGAAGUGGAGCAGAGUCGUGGCCAUUACUGUGGCCUGUCAGGGAGUCCAGGCCUAUCAGUCGAAGCUCGGUUGAGGUGUCCGACAGAGAGAGGUAGCUCGCCAUCUGAGAGGAGCUCGGAUGUUGCUGGUGAGCCCUCCACCGUUGGGUGCCUUGGGUGCUAGUACUACAGGAGAGGGUCAUUUCUUGUAGGAGCUCGAUCAGAGGCUUUCCAUAGAUGAAGUUCGGUUUCAUGUAGAAUUCGGUUGAAGGUCGAUCGGUAGUGGAUGUUGGAUGGCACUGGAGAGGUUCAUCUGCUGAAGGGGUUCGACUGCUGGAGUCCGUGUGUCAUAGGAGUUCGUCCGGAACCUGUCCGCUAAAGAAGUUCGGUCGGAGUCUGGUCUCCGUAGAAGUCCGGAUGGGGAUCAUUUGUCAAGGAAGCUCGGUCGAAGCCUGCAUGCAAUAGAAGUUCGAAAGGAGUUCGCUCACAAUAGAAGCUCAAGUGGAGGCUUACAGUAGAAAUCCGAUGUGGACCGCUCGUAGUAGAAAUUUGGAGCAGACCGCUGGUAGUGGUAGCUCGGAGCAGACCGCUUGUGGUAGAAGUUUGGAGUAGACCGCUUGUGGUGGGGGCCCGGAGUCCGACCCUUGCCAGAAUUCGGAUGAGGCCCACCUGCGA